UACCACCCUUUAAUGUUUGAUGUUCUAACGUGGACCCGUGAUCCGGGUUGCGGACAGUGUCUGGUGGGUAGUUUGACUGGGGCGGUCUCCUCCUAAAGAGUAACGGAGGAGCACGAAGGUUGGCUAAUCCUGGUCGGACAUCAGGAGGUUAGUGCAAUGGCAUAAGCCAGCUUGACUGCGAGCGUGACGGCGCGAGCAGGUGCGAAAGCAGGUCAUAGUGAUCCGGUGGUUCUGAAUGGAAGGGCCAUCGCUCAACGGAUAAAAGGUACUCCGGGGAUAACAGGCUGAUACCGCCCAAGAGUUCAUAUCGACGGCGGUGUUUGGCACCUCGAUGUCGGCUCAUCACAUCCUGGGGCUGAAGUAGGUCCCAAGGGUAUGGCUGUUCGCCAUUUAAAGUGGUACGCGAGCUGGGUUUAGAACGUCGUGAGACAGUUCGGUCCCUAUCUGCCGUGGGCGCUGGAGAACUGAGGGGGGCUGCUCCUAGUACGAGAGGACCGGAGUGGACGCAUCACUGGUGUUCGGGUUGUCAUGCCAAUGGCACUGCCCGGUAGCUAAAUGCGGAAGAGAUAAGUGCUGAAAGCAUCUAAGCACGAAACUUGCCCCGAGAUGAGUUCUCCCUGAGACUUAGAGUCUCCUGAAGGAACGUUGAAGACGACGACGUUGAUAGGCCGGGUGUGUAAGCGCAGCGAUGCGUUGAGCUAACCGGUACUAAUGAACCGUGAGGCUUAACCUUA
rnacentral:rRNA from 1 species